rfam:Hanseniaspora uvarum DSM 2768 Contig_10, whole genome shotgun sequence.
UGUUAUAUGAUGAUAAUUUUUACUCAGCUCACUCAGAUUCUUCGUGAUUGACAAAAUUUCCAUAUACUUCAUCAAAUUAUACCUGAAACAAAG